AUGUCGGCUCCUGUCUUCGAGAGAGAUCUCUUCGAGAGAGAACCGUGCCCAGGCCGCAUCAUUGAUGAUGCAGGCAGUGCUUUCGCCAUGGGUGCUGUCGGUGGUUCUGUCUAUCACUUUUUCAAGGGCCUUCAUAACUCGCCCAAUGGUGCUCGAAUUACUGGCGGCAUGCAGGCCGCUCGCAUGAACGCCCCUCGACUCGCCGGGAGCUUUGCUGUGUGGGGCACCCUCUUUUCCACCUUCCACUGCACCUCAGCCUACGUUCGCCGGAAGGAGGACCCCUGGAACUCCAUCAUAGGUGGCGCCGCCACUGGAGGGUUUCUCUCCAUGCGGCAGGGCGUCAAAGCUUCUGGCCGCUCGGCACUUGUGGGUGGCUUUUUCCUCGCCCUCAUAGAGGGCGCUGGCCUCAUGGCCAACCGCUUUGCACCGCAGAUGCUCCCGCCGCUCCCUGCCGAUGAUCCCAACAUGGCCGCCGCCAUCUCGAUGGGAGGAGGUGGCUUCCCAGGCCUGCCUCAGCCUGUCGUGUCCCCUGCAGAGGUCGUGAGCUCAAGCAGUGGGGGUAGCUGGUUUGGCGGCCUCUUCGGCAAGAAGGAGGAGAAGAAGCCCAGCGGCAGUGCUGGCAUGUCGGAGAUAUUAGAGAGCUUCGAGGCGCCCAGCCCUCCGAUACCAUCGUUUGAUUUCAAGUGA
rnacentral:rRNA from 1 species